UACGAAGGGGGCUAGCGUUGUUCGGAAUUACUGGGCGUAAAGCGCACGUAGGCGGCUUUGUAAGUUAGAGGUGAAAGCCCGGGGCUCAACUCCGGAAUUGCCUUUAAGACUGCAUCGCUAGAAUUGUGGAGAGGUAAGUGGAAUUCCGAGUGUAGAGGUGAAAUUCGUAGAUAUUCGGAAGAAACACCAGUGGCGAAGGCGACUUACUGGACACAUAUUGACGCUGAGGUGCGAAAGCGUGGGGAGCAAACAGG
rnacentral:rRNA from 1 species